rnacentral:lncRNA from 1 species
GGCAUUUCUCUAGUAGGCAAGCGAGUAGAUCCUGCAUAUCUGUCAUAAGAAGCAGAUGGUGGAGCGUCGCUAGCAAAUGGACUUCCAUUAGGAUACGCUCUUCUUUUAGAGAAGUAAUCUACUGAAUCAUGGGGUUUAUUGUUUGGUCUCCCAUAUAGUGUAUCAUUGGCAGGUCUCCCAUAUGCUGUAUCAUUGGCUGGUCCCCCAUAUGGUGGAUCAUUGGCUGGUCUCCCAUAUAGUGGAUCAUUGGCAGGUCUUCCAUAUAGUGAAUCACUGGCAAGCCCAUAUGGUUGAUCAAUGGCAAGCCGCCUUUGAUAUGGG